rnacentral:sRNA from 1 species
GCCGAAAACAUAAGCGAUGGUAGGUAG